GGGAAUUCCCACCAAAUCUACGACGGAAAUAUUCGCCAUUGAAAUUUAUGAAUGUUGAUUUAAAAUUUCAAUAAAAGCAGUACAACAUGAUUGGCGGAUUCGUUUUCGUCUGUGUCCUGGCUGCUGCCUUGUAUGUCGCAUAUACUGGAUUUCCAAUGCCUCAGGGAAGUAACCGCACAUCUGAUCAUCAUUAUUUUGAGAGAGGAACCCGCCAAUCUGGUCAACAAACCACAAGAAGAUCUGGUUUCCACAUUUCCGCUAAUGUAUCAAUGGCAAGUCAGCAAACUGAGGAAACCGUAAUACAUGAUCAGACGCGACCAUAUCCUCCGAGGGAAAGUGUCGUUGUUCGAUCCAAUACGCUUGCGCAAGGCUCCUUACAACACAAUCAAUAAACCAGUUCACGAGUUAAUCCGUCCUGCAGUUCCAUCGGCGGGGAUAUUAGGAUAAACACUUUUAAGUAUGUUUUAGAAUAAACACUUUGUGCAUCGGUGCGUGACUGUUUUCCGGUGACUAUUUAAUGGUUUUAUACAUAUCUUUUCUUUAAAAUCCAGCAGGAAUAUAGUAAGCAUGAAGUUAAUACCCAUGACAUUCUCUUCCUUACAAACAUGCUUGCCCAAGCACCAGACUAUUGUAAACAUUGUAAUAAAUAAGCUCCCCAUUAAGAUAAAGUGCGCAAAAAGAACAUUUUAGUUAUUUGAAAAAGUUCAAAACAAUGAAUACGACACUAUUCACUGUGGUAUUUACAGAGUGGUCUAAAGGGAAAUAUUGUGGACUACGAAGAUAUCUACACGUGUGACAAUGAAUGUUAUGUAUACAUGAAUACAUUUAUCAAGGCAUUUUAAUGAUACUAGGGCCUAAAAAAAUGUUUGGUUAGGGUAACAUCCUAUUCAAAAAUAGGUAGGGUAGGUAGGCUUUUUUGAUUAGGCUUUAUAUAAGUUUGCCAUUUUCAUCAUAGGAUAAUGGUGUUAAAGUUAUCUUCUGUAUAAGCAUUUAAGAUUUUCAACUUCAAAGUGAAAAGCAAUCAAAAAAAGAUAAAUCUUCUUUUUUUUAGUUUUUUUUUUCAAUCUGACUAUAAAAACGGUAGGGUCGGCCCCUAUAUUGUAGGUAGGGUCGGGUAACCCGAACCAAAUGUAUUUUUUUAGGCCUAGUAUUUAUUCAUAUUAUGAAGGAAAGUUUGUAAGGUGUUUCUUUGAGGCAUGUCAGUUAAGUGCUUUAAACCUCAACCUGAAUAUACAUUUUGUGAAAAUAUAA